UACGAAGGGUGCAAGCGUUACUCGGACUUACUGGGCGUAAAGCGUGCGUAGGUGGUGAGUUAAGUCUGAUGUGAAAUCCCCGGGCUCAACCUGGGAAUGGCAUUGGAUACUGGCUCGCUAGAGUGCGGUAGAGGGUGGUGGAAUUCCUGGUGUAGCAGUGAAAUGCGUAGAGAUCGGGAGGAACAUCUGUGGCGAAGGCGGCCACCUGGACCAACACUGACACUGAGGCACGAAAGCGUGGGGAGCAAACAGG
rnacentral:rRNA from 1 species